UACGAAGGGGGCUAGCGUUGCUCGGAAUUACUGGGCGUAAAGGGCGCGUAGGCGGAUAUCUAAGUUGGGGGUGAAAUCCCGGGGCUCAACCUCGGAAUUGCCUUCAAAACUGGGUAUCUUGAGUUCGGGAGAGGUGAGUGGAACUCCGAGUGUAGAGGUGAAAUUCGUAGAUAUUCGGAAAGAACACCAGUGGCGAAGGCGACUCACUGGCCCGACACUGACGCUGAGGAGCGAAAGCGUGGGGAGCGAACAGG
rnacentral:rRNA from 1 species